UACGAAGGACCCGAGCGUUAUCCGGAUUUAUUGGGUUUAAAGGGUGCGUAGGUGGAACGGUAAGUCAGUGGUGAAAGCCUGUUGCUUAACAACAGAACUGCCAUCGAUACUGCCGAUCUUGAGUACAUAUGAUGUGGGCGGAAUGUGCCAUGUAGCGGUGAAAUGCUUAGAUAUGGCACAGAACACCGAUUGCGAAGGCAGCUCACUAAACUGUAACUGACGCUGAGGCACGAAAGCGUGGGGAGCAAACAGG
rnacentral:rRNA from 1 species